rnacentral:rRNA from 1 species
UGGGGGAUAUUGCACAAUGGGCGAAAGCCUGAUGCAGCGACGCCGCGUGGGGGAUGAAGGCCUUCGGGUUGUAAACUUCUUUUGCUCUGAACAAGGCGCACCAUGGGGUGUGUUGAGUGUAGGGGUUGAUUAGCGCCGGCUAACUACGUGCCAGCAGCCGCGGUAAUACGUAGGGCGCGAGCGUUGUCCGGAAUUAUUGGGCGUAAAGGGCUUGUAGGUGGCUGGUUGCGUCUGUCGUGAAAGCUCAUGGCUUAACUGUGGGUUUGCGGUGGGUACGGGCUGGCUUGAGUGCAGUAGGGGAGGCUGGAAUUCCUGGUGUAGCGGUGGAAUGCGCAGAUAUCAGGAGGAAUACCGGUGGCGAAGGAGGGGCUCUGGGCUGUUACUGACACUGAGGAGCGAAAGCAUGGGGAGCGAACAGG